GAUGAACGCUGGCGGCGUGCCUAAUACAUGCAAGUCGAGCGAACGGACGAGAAGCUUGCUUUUCUGAUGUUAGCGGCGGACGGGUGAGUAACACGUGGAUAACCUACCUAUAAGACUGGGAUAACUUCGGGAAACCGGAGCUAAUACCGGAUAAUAUUUUGAACCGCAUGGUUCAAAAGUGAAAGUCGGUCUUGCUGUCACUUAUAGAUGGAUCCGCGCUGCAUUAGCUAGUUGGUAAGGUAACGGCUUACCAAGGCAACGAUGCAUAGCCGACCUGAGAGGGUGAUCGGCCACACUGGAACUGAGACACGGUCCAGACUCCUACGGGAGGCAGCAGUAGGGAAUCUUCCGCAAAGGGCGAAAGCCUGACGGAGCAACGCCGCGUGAGUGAUGAAGGUCUUCGGAUCGUAAAACUCUGUUAUUAGGGAAGAACAUAUGUGUAAGUAACUGUGCACAUCUUGACGGUACCUAAUCAGAAAGCCACGGCUAACUACGUG
rnacentral:rRNA from 1 species